AUUGAACGCUGGCGGCAGGCCUAACACAUGCAAGUCGAGCGGCAGCGGGAAAGUAGCUUGCUACUUUUGCCGGCGAGCGGCGGACGGGUGAGUAAUGCCUGGGAAAUUGCCCAGUCGAGGGGGAUAACAGUUGGAAACGACUGCUGAUACCGCAUACGCCCUACGGGGGAAGGCAGGGGACCUUCGGGCCUUGCGCGAUUGGAUAUGCCCAGGUGGGAUUAGCUAGUUGGUGAGGUAAUGGCUCACCAAGGCGACGAUCCCUAGCUGGUCGGGGAGGAUGAUCAGCCACACUGGAACUGAGACACGGUCCAGACUCCUACGGGAGGCAGCAGUGGGGAAUAUUGCACAAUGGGGGAAACCCUGAUGCAGCCAUGCCGCGUGUGUGAAGAAGGCCUUUGGGUUGUAAAGCACUUUCAGCGAGGAGGAAAGGUUGAUGCCUAAUACGUAUCAACUGUGACGUUACUCGCAGAAGAAGCACCGGCUAACUUCGUGCCAGCAGCCGCCGUAAAAC
rnacentral:rRNA from 1 species